rnacentral:lncRNA from 1 species
UGUGUGUGUUCUGGUCGUGAUUUACACAGGAGCCAAGAAGGGUUCUUUUCAAAACCCUAAACUCACUAAAAUCCAUCAAAAUCUAAGGGAAAUCGAGUUGGAAAUUAGGGCUUUAACUAAAUUCAUGACCAACCAUGCUAGGAGAUCACAAGUUGACUCUAAACAAGCUAGGUGGGAGCUUGGAAAGGAACGGGUCAAACGGAUCAUGGAUGCGAAGAAUGUUUGCGCGAACGCGAGGUAAGUAAAGCUUACACCCAUUUGUAGUAAACGUAUGUAUUUUAUAGAUGAUAAAUGUGACAACCGAUUACAUUCGAAAUUGAAGUUCCAACACUAAGCGAUAUGAGUCGGAACGAAUAAAAAUGAUCAAAACCACGGUUAAUGGUAAAAUGGACAAAAGGGUAAUUUAGUCGUGAAUCGACUAAGAAUUUAUAAGAUUUCUUUAAGGUUACCUUAUAGCGAAAUUAGUAAUGGGAAAAAGGGUAAAUUAGUCACAUGUUGACUAUAUGUAAGUUGGGAUUAA